GACGAACGCUGGCGGCGUGCUUAACACAUGCAAGUCGAGCGGUAAGGCCCUUUCGGGGGUACACGAGCGGCGAACGGGUGAGUAACACGUGGGUGACCUGCCCUCAGCUCUGGGAUAAGCCUGGGAAACUGGGUCUAAUACUGGAUAUGACUCCACGGUGCAUGUCGUGGGGUGGAAAGCCUUGUGCGGCUGAGGAUGGGCCCGCGGCCUAUCAGCUUGUUGGUGGGGGAUGGCCUACCAAGGCGACGACGGGUAGCCGGCCUGAGAGGGCGACCGGCUACACUGGGACUGAGACACGGCCCAGACUCCUACGGGAGGCAGCAGUGGGGAAUCUUGCGCAAUGGGCGAAAGCCUGACGCAGCGACGCCGCGUGAGGGAUGACGGCCUGGUGUAAC
rnacentral:rRNA from 1 species